rnacentral:rRNA from 1 species
UACGUAGGCGGAAAAUUAAGUCAGUAGUGAAAUCCUGCAGCUUAACUGUAGAACUGUUAUUGAUACUGGUUUUCUUGAAUAUAGUUGAGGUAAGCGGAAUGUGUAAUGUAGCGGUGAAAUGCUUAGAUAUUACACAGAACACCGAUUGCGAAGGCAGCUUACUAGGCUAUGAUUGACGCUGAGGUACGAAAGCGUGGGGAGCGAACAGGAUUAGAUACCCUGGUAGUCC